UUUAGUUAGCAUAAGUACACUCCAUUUUGUAUUAGCAUAAGUUAGUAUAAGUAGUCCCCAUUUUAUUCUUAGACCAAAACUUGUAAACAACUCCAAAAAUAAGAUGUGUGUGUGUGAUUGAUAAGCUUUGGACAUGUACACAACUUUCCUGCCUGAGUGUAUACCAAGGUAACAGGGCGGCACCCGUGUAUGGCACCCGAUAGGAGACACUGGAGACGCCCAGCUUCGAGGAUUUAAGGAGAGCAAAUCCGCUGCGGUUCUGACGCCUGUCUGACCUCCACAGACCAGCCGUUCUCCUCCUCGCUGGAAACUGCCAAACUGCCAUUCCUGAUCUGUCUUGAGCCCAAACUGUUAGAGGCUUCUCUUCGAGUCAAGAGACCGAGCUCCUGCCGCGGCGUAUUGGACGACCUCCGUGUGUCUCUGUCAGUGAGUGUCUCCGGGUGGCCUGCCAAGGACUGAAACCCAUCAGCUCUCUGCAGAACCCAGGGAGGCAGCCA